rnacentral:rRNA from 1 species
GUUUGCCUACGGGAGGCAGCAGUGGGGAAUCUUGCACAAUGGGCGAAAGCCUGAUGCAGCGACGCCGCGUGCGGGAUGAAGGCCUUCGGGUUGUAAACCGCUUUCAGCAGGGACGAGGCGAAAGUGACGGUACCUGCAGAAGAAGCCCCGGCUAACUACGUGCCAGCAGCCGCGGUAAUACGUAGGGGGCAAGCGUUAUCCGGAUUCAUUGGGCGUAAAGCGCUCGUAGGCGGUCUGUUAGGUCGGGAGUUAAAUCCGGGGGCUCAACCCCCGUUCGCUCCCGAUACCGGCAGACUUGAGUUUGG